rnacentral:rRNA from 1 species
GACGAACGCUGGCGGCGUGCUUAACACAUGCAAGUCGAACGAUGAACCUUCCAUGAUCUAUUCGUAGAGAUUGGGAGCGGAUUAGUGGCGAACGGGUAAGUAACGCGUGAGCAACCUGCCUUAAACAACGGGAUAGCCUCGGGAAACCGGGAUUAAUACCGUAUGAGACCCCGCCUUCACAUGAAGAAGAGGUUAAAGAUUUAUCGGUUUAAGAUGGGCUCGGGUAGGAUUAGCUAGUUGGUUGGAUAAAAGCCCACCAAGGCAACGAUCAGUAACCGGCUUGAGAGAGUGAACGGUCACAUUGGAACUGAGACACGGUCCAAACUCCUACGGGAGGCAGCAGUGGGGAAUAUUGCACAAUGGGGGAAACCUUGAUGCAGCGACGCCGCGUGAGCGAUGAAGGAAUUCGUUUCGUAAAGCUCUGUCCUAGGGGAAGAUAAUGACAGUACCCUUGGAGGAAGCCCCGGCUAAAUACGUGCCAGCAGCCGCCGUAA